AUGGUUUUAUCGGGAAGUGCUGAGGGGAGAGGGGAAAAGGCUUUUGUUGGAAGUACUGAGAGGAGGAAGAGGAAAAUGUUUUGUCAGGAAGUGCUGGGGGGAGGGAGGAGGUUUUCUUGGGAACCGUGGAGGAAAUUGUGGGGAAAGGUUUUGGCGGGAAGUGCUGAGGGGGGUGAGGGGAAAGGUUUUUUGUGGGAAGUACCAGCCAAAGUGGGGGUGAGGGGAAAGAUUUUGUCAGGAAAUGUUGAGGGGAGAGUGGGUAUAUGUUUUUUGUGGGAAGAGGGGAGAAGGGAGAGAUUUCUUGUGGGAAGCGCUGAGGGGAGAGAGGGGAAAGGUUUUGGCGGGAAGUGCUGAGGGGGGUGAGGGGAAAGGUUUUUGAGGAAGCAUUGAGGGGAGGGAAGGCUGAGGGGAGGCUUUCAUUGGAAGUGCUGAGGGGAGAGGGGAAAGGUUUUGGUGGGAAGUGCUGAGGAGAGAGGGGAAACCUUUUGGUGGAAGUGGCAGGGCGGGCAAGAGGAAAAGUUUUGUUGGGAAAAUUUGAGGGGAGAGUGAGUAAAUAUUUUUUGUGGGAAGCGCUGUGAGGAGACAUGAAACAUUUUGGUGGGAAGCACUGAGAGGAUGGGGAAAAGGUUUUUGUGGGAAGUGCUGAGGGGAGRAAGAGGGAAAGGUUUUCUAGGGAAGCACUGAGGGGAGAGAGGGGAACCUUUUUUUGUAGUGCUGUGGGUAGAGGGGGAGGAGGUUUUUCUGCGGAGUACUUACGGAAGGGAGAGGGAAAUGUUUUCUUAUGAAGUGCUCAGGGGAGAGAGUGGAAAGAGUUUGUCAGGAAACAAGCAGGUAUUGGAGAAAGAUUUUUGUGCGAAGUACUGAGGAGAGGGCAAAGGUUUUAUCAGGAUGUGCUGGAAAGGGAAAAGGCUUUUCUGCAAAGCGCUGAGGGAGAGGGGGAAGGAAUGGUUUUGUCUGGAAGUCCUGAGGGAAGAAGGGAAAGUUUUUUUCAGGAAGUGCUGAGGGGAGAAGGUAAAAGGUUUCGGUUGGAAGUGCUGAGGGGAAGGUGAGGAAUUGGUUUUAUUGGGAAGUGCUGAGGGGAGAGGGAAAGGUUUUUUUGGGGAAGAUUGAGGAGAGAUGUAAAAGGGUUUGGGGGAAGCACUGAGGGCAGAGAGAAAAGGUUUUUUUGUUGGAAGCACUGAGGGAAGGAGGGGAAACUUUUUGCCUGAAAAUACUAAGGGGAGAGAGGGAAAGAUUUUUUCCAACAGUGGGAAUGGGGGGGGGGAAACUUUUGAGGAAGGUGCUGAGGGGGGAGGGGGAAGGGUUUUGCUGGGAAGCAUGGAAGGGAGGAAGAGGGAAAAAUUUUGUUAGAAGU
rnacentral:lncRNA from 1 species